UACGUAGGGGGCAAGCGUUGUCCGGAUUUAUUGGGCGUAAAGAGCGUGUAGGCGGCCAAGCAGGUCAGCUGUGAAAACUCGAGGCUCAACCUCGAGACGUCGGUUGAAACCGCUUGGCUAGAGUCCGGAAGAGGAGAGUGGAAUUCCCGGUGUAGCGGUGAAAUGCGCAGAUAUCGGGAAGAACACCCGUGGCGAAGGCGGCUCUCUGGGACGGUACUGACGCUGAGACGCGAAAGCUAGGGGAGCGAACGGG
rnacentral:rRNA from 1 species